AAAAAGUUAUACACAAACUUUUCAAAGCAAGAUUUACUAAGAUAAAAAAAGUGCUUAUCACGUAUGUAAUUUUAACAGUAAUCAUUUUUAGUCAAUUCUACAUGACUCGCAUAACUACAAUGGUAUGUGUAUAUUCAAUUGCUUGUUUUUUGCCGAUUCGAUUUGAUAUAACGCGCGGUUUGAUAUGACGCGCGGUUUUGUAAUAUAAAUCUUUUAUAGAAUGUAAAAAUAAUGGUUUAUCAUGACCGGCAAUUUAUUUUGAUACAUGAUGUAACACCAAAUCAGUAAUGACAAGCCGUUUGGUUAUUUUUUAUUUUAUUGUUAUUCGGCGUGUCAUUGUACUGAUUAUACGCAUCAUUACCCAAAUUGUUCAAUAUCAGGUCCCACAUAAAGAUAUAAGUUUUAAAAACUGAGAAAAAAUUCAGAACAAGGUGAAGACAUUAUUGGCGAUAAGUGCGUUGACUUCAAAUAACGACGUGCAGUGCUGACGUGCGUUGAUGAGACGGCAAAAACAAAGAAACUAGAAUUCGGUUAGAAUUAAAUCAAAUUAUUGAACUAUUAUUGAAUUAUUGAAAAAAAUAUAAAGGAUUGUUAAAGAUUUUUUCUUCGCGAUGGGAAAGGGCUUUUUUAAAAGAUUUAAGCUCACUUCAAAAUCACGGAAGCACACUCGCGUCACAUAUUACGAUGUUGUGCGCAAUUCACAGCCCAGCAGUCCUACGACCGGACUUUCCCGUUACGGGGAAACCAUUGACGAGCGCAUGGCGCACAUUGUAAAAAAGAAAACAACGCCACGUAUGGAAAUUGAAGAAAUCAUAAAGGAAGAGAUAAUUGCUGGACGUCGACCGAAGAGUAGUUUAGAAGUUAUUGAAGAUGUAUUAUGCGGAUCUUCGUCUGAUAUAGUUUAUGACGAAAUCAAAGGUUUUGAUGAUUUUAUGAUGUACUAAAACCUACGGAACUUACAAAAAGAUAUGCCAUAUUAGAGUAUUUACUGCAAGAGAUAAUAAAGUCUAUAUUUAUUAAACUUUGUAUAUAUAGCAUUGUGUUGAAUAUAAAUUUUGUAACUAUAAUUAGCUACAUUGGCUUGUAUACGCCUUCUUGAACAUUGAAUUUGUAUGCAAGAUAAAGUGACCUGAAUGAAA